AGUCGAGGGGUAUUUUCUUCGGACAAGAGACCGGCGCACGGGUGCGUAACGCGUAUGCAAUCUACCUUUUACAGAGGGAUAGCCCAGAGAAAUUUGGAUUAAUACCUCAUAGUAUUAUAGAAUGGCAUGAUUUCAUUAUUAAAGUCACAACGGUAAAAGAUGAGCAUGCGUCCCAUUAGCUAGUUGGUAAGGUAACGGCUUACCAAGGCUACGAUGGGUAGGGGUCCUGAGAGGGAGAUCCCCCACACUGGUACUGAGACACGGACCAGACUCCUACGGGAGGCAGCAGUGAGGAAUAUUGGACAAUGGGCGCAAGCCUGAUCCAGCCAUGCCGCGUGCAGGAUGACGGUCCUAUGGAUUGUAAACUGCUUUUAUACGAGAAGAAACACUCCGACGUGUCGGAGCUUGACGGUAUCGUAAGAAUAAGGAUCGGCUAACUCCGUGCCAGCAGCCGCGGUAAUACGGAGGAUCCAAGCGUUAUCCGGAAUCAUUGGGUUUAAAGGGUCCGUAGGCGGUUUAAUAAGUCAGUGGUGAAAGCCCAUCGCUCAACGGUGGAACGGCCAUUGAUACUGUUAGACUUGAAUUAUUAGGAAGUAACUAGAAUAUGUAGUGUAGCGGUGAAAUGCUUAGAGAUUACAUGGAAUACCAAUUGCGAAAGGCAGGUUACUACUAAUGGAUUGACGCUGAUGG
rnacentral:rRNA from 1 species